rnacentral:misc_RNA from 1 species
GGCGAAUUACGGCAUCAUCAAGAUCAAAUGGCCGAUUCGUGGCACCAAGGAUGAGAAUCCUUUGGCUGUCUUUCGUCCUCAAUCCAUCCCAUGCUGCCAUGAAUUCAUUCCUCAUUCUUCUAGUAGCCUCGUGCUCAAAAGCACCACCACGAGCACCAAGCAAACUGUCCACCUCAUCAACAAAUAUAAUGACAGGAGCCAGUUUGCUGGCGAAAGAAAAUAAAGCCUUUGUAAGCUUUUCAGCAUCUCCAAACCACUUUGACGUAAGAGUUGAACCAGUUAUGCUGAUAAAGUUUGCACCAGCCUCUGUUGC